rnacentral:rRNA from 1 species
UACGAAGGGGGCUAGCGUUGCUCGGAAUCACUGGGCGGAAAGGGUGCGUAGGCGGGUCUUUAAGUCAGGGGUGAAAUCCUGGAGCUCAACUCCAGAACUGCCUUUGAUACUGAAGAUCUUGAGUUCGGGAGAGGUGAGUGGAACUGCGAGUGUAGAGGUGAAAUUCGUAGAUAUUCGCAAGAACACCAGUGGCGAAGGCGGCUCGCUGGAACGGUACUGACGCUGAGGCGCGAAAGCGUGGGGAGCGAACAGG